AGCGUAGACGGACUGGCAAGUCUGAUGUGAAAGGCGGGGGCUCAACCCCUGGACUGCAUUGGAAACUGUUAGUCUUGAGUGCCGGAGAGGUAAGCGGAAUUCCUAGUGUAGCGGUGAAAUGCGUAGAUAUUAGGAGGAACACCAGUGGCGAAGGCGGCUUACUGGACGGUAACUGACGUUGAGGCUCGAAAGCGUGGGGAGCGAACA
rnacentral:rRNA from 1 species